rnacentral:pre_miRNA from 1 species
AAAAUACUCCCUCCGUUCCAUAUUAAGUGCCGAAAUAUUAGAUGUAUCUAAACAUUUUUAGGUAUAGAUACAUUCAUAUUUGGGCAAAUUUGAGUCACUUAAUAUGAGACGGAGGGAGCAUGAC